AGGUUUUAUUAGGAUUAUGGUAAUCUACGGUAAAGGUAGUUGAUCAAAUACAUUGUAAAAGGUAUUCAACAAGUCCACACGCUCAUUCAAUAACUUACCAGCUGAGGAGUCAUCCACUGACGUUAUAACCAACCGAACUUAAUAAGCUCUAGGCUAUGUCGCCUCCUCUGCAUCAUGUCAGCUAUACAAUUGAUACAUAUCAUAGGUUCCUCAUGAGGUUGAGGAAUUGCUAGUUGCAUUAUCCAAAAUCGGGCUGGGGUUAACAUUGGGGCUCGGGUCGGAGUCCAUACGUAAGCCGUGGUCGGCGUUUAGGCAAGGUUCGAUGUCCGAAAGUGAGCCAUUGGUCAUUGGUUGAGUGAGAUUCGUAGUUCGAGAGUAUGCCAGGGUCAUCGGGAAGGGAAGCAUCGAGGACCAUGGUCAAAAAAA